GAGAAGCAAGACCGUGAGGUGGAGCAAAACUCAAAAACUUGUCUCAGUUCGGAUUNUAGGCUGAAACUCGCCUACAUGAAGCUGGAGUUGCUAGUAAUCGCGAAUCAGCAUGUCGCGGUGAAUACGUUCCCGGGCCUUGUACACACCGCCCGUCACACCAUGAGAGUUGGCAAUACCCAACGUACGUGAUCUAACCCGCAAGGGAGGAAGCGUCCUAAGGUAGGGUCAGCGAUUGGGGUGAAGUCGUAACAAGGUACC
rnacentral:rRNA from 1 species